rnacentral:rRNA from 1 species
UACGGGGGGAGCAAGCGUUGUUCGGAUUUACUGGGCGUAAAGGGCGCGUAGGCGGCCACCGCAAGUCGACUGUGAAAUCUCCGGGCUUAACCCGGAAAGGUCAGCCGAUACUGCGGGGCUAGAGUGCAGAAGGGGCAACUGGAAUUCUCGGUGUAGCGGUGAAAUGCGUAGAUAUCGAGAGGAACACCUGCGGCGAAGGCGGGUUGCUGGGCUGACACUGACGCUGAUGCGCGAAGGCGUGGGGAGCAAACGGG